CCCGCCGAAUUUAAGCAUAUAAGCAAGCGGAGGAGAAGUAACUAAACAGGAUUCCCUUAGUAAUGGCGAACGAACAGGGAUCAGCUUGGGUUGGAAACCGGGGCUUCUGCCUUGGAUUGUGGCCUUUAGACAUAGGCGGCGCGAGCGUAAGCCUCUUGGAACAGAGCGUCUACGUGGGUGAGAAUCCUGUGUUUCGCUUGAUGCCCGUCGUGCACGGCACUUGCUCUCGUUGUACGAAUAAGACCACAAACCACUGGAAACCGCAAGUUGAACGUUAAUAUGUGA
rfam:Symbiodinium microadriaticum strain CCMP2467 Smic.scaffold610, whole genome shotgun sequence.